rnacentral:sRNA from 2 species
AUGAGGAUUUAACUUAGACAUAGCGCUUCGGUAUCUAUGGCAUGUAAUCAUACACACUUUUCGACCAUCACGAUUCAAAAGAAUUGGUGGAAGUAUGGCGAUGAAUGCCCCAAUAUUUAGAAACUCUUUGAAGAGUACGCAGGUACAAUGGCAUGAAUAACAUGCCAAAAAUCCGCGAGAGCUCACUUUGAUUGAACAAUCAUGUGG